UACGUAGGGUGCAAGCGUUUGUCCGGAAUUAUUGGGCGUAAAGAGCUCGUAGGCGGUUUGUCGCGUCGGCCGUGAAAUCUCCACGCUUAACGUGGAGCGUGCGGUCGAUACGGGCAGACUUGAGUUCGGUAGGGGAGACUGGAAUUCCUGGUGUAGCGGUGAAAUGCGCAGAUAUCAGGAGGAACACCGGUGGCGAAGGCGGGUCUCUGGGCCGAUACUGACGCUGAGGAGCGAAAGCGUGGGGAGCGAACAGG
rnacentral:rRNA from 1 species